GAUCCUCUUCACUGCCUCCGCCACCACUACCUUCUUCUUCAUUCUCUGCCAUCUGAGCAUGAACAUGGAGCGAGUCCUCCGUGCUGCUUCCACUCACCAGCUGAUAGUGGCUUGGUUUGGCUUCAAUGUCCACUUGGAUUUCCAUAUUGUUGCAUUCUCUGUCCUGUGGGUUGUAGGAACUGAUUAUGGAACCGGCCAUAGCACGAGUGCUUGCGUUGUCACUA
rnacentral:lncRNA from 1 species